rnacentral:rRNA from 1 species
UACGUAGGGAGCAAGCGUUGUUCGGAUUUACUGGGCGUAAAGGGCGCGUAGGCGGCCAGCACAAGUCAGUUGUGAAAUCUCCGAGCUUAACUCGGAAAGGUCAACUGAUACUGUGCGGCUAGAGUGCAGAAGGGGCAACUGGAAUUCUUGGUGUAGCGGUGAAAUGCGUAGAUAUCAAGAGGAACACCUGCGGCGAAGGCGGGUUGCUGGGCUGACACUGACGCUGGAGGCGCGAAAGCUAGGGGAGCGAACGGG